AACACAUAUUAAUUAAUUUCACAUGUAAAUACUUCAUCCGUUAUCAACAUAAUGACUUUCAAAAUUUCCCAUAAGCUAAUAUAGCUAAUUAACUGGACGAAACAUUAUGGUUCAUUGUCUCAAACACAAUGUGGGUUUACAAAAUGAUAGAUAAAAUUCAUCACCAAUGAUUCAAUCACCACUACACAAAAUAUCCUGAACCGCCGGCUUUAUGGUUCCUCCUCCGCUUGCAUGUCUUUCCUGCAAAAUGUAAAGAAGUUGCCAUUACAUUCUUACAUUCAUAAAUACAAUGUACCAUAAAAAUUGGAUAAAGCAUAGCAUUGACAACAGCUAUUACUUCACAAGGCAAGCAAGUACCAAAAUACCUACUCAAGAAGGCACUCCAUUCAAGUAUAGGUAACCACUAGAAGUAGACGCAAGCCUUGCCACACUGCUUUUCAUUGUGGACCCGCUUUUAUCUCUCUUAUUCCUCACGUUCGAUGACUCAAUGCACAUAUGCAUGCUGCUCGUACUUAUGGCCAUGGUGCACAUAUAUAAGGCACUCGUGACAAAACUUCAAGAACAUCAUAGAUUACUUUAUUCAAAUAGAAUAUCAUGAAGUUUGUUUAUUGAGUGCUACACUUUAGUGUGCUCAGUGGAAAAAAAAAUUACAGUAGAAAACGGAAAAAAUGCACACCUGAUCCAAGUCACAUCAUGAUUUUCUGGGAGAGCUUACCACCAUGGGGGAAUGGUUAUAGAAAAACCUGAGACUUGAAGAUUUCUUUCCUUACCUGAUCAUCACCAAUUUCCAAUAAUAAAUUAACUAUGGAAACAUAAUACAUGUGCAACAUUAGUAAGCAAACCAAUUUAGGACAGUGUGAGGAAAGUGCAAACAUUAUUCUUUAUCUGCCACAGCAAACAUUAUUCACUGGAGCUAGAAUAAGGUAGAAAAUCCCCAGGAUACAAUUGGAAUUGGUUCCUGCUUGACUACUACUACAAUACUUCCAGUACUUCCAGUUUACCUGGGAGGUAUGAUGAACAAAUUUCUCAAUACUUACCAUGCUUUGAUAAAAGCUAAAUGCAAUGUUCAAAAGGAAAUUCUAGUGAUAGAGUAAUAUCAAAACAUGAAAGUACCAACUAAAAUACCCAUGCGAUUUGACAUAUAUAAGUUGCCCUUUCAUAUUGGCCUUUAGAAAGGACAAAUGAUACCAGAUGUGGCAUACAAAUGACUAAAAAAUAAAAUCAUAUUCCCAGAUACUAUGCUACUCCAGUAUCCAGGUGGCAUGUAAGCCACUAUGUAACUGGCAAAGACAAUUGAGAAUUCAGAUGAGAGAUAUUGCCACAUUGGCAUGAGAGGAAUUAAUCAUUCAAUGCAACUAAAUUUCAGAAAAAGAAGUUAUUAAGCAGAGACAACGGAGCUUGGAUAUUACAUUAAUACAUAGAUGAAUCUUCCUUGCAACUUGCUUGGAUUUUCAUCGACCUUGUAUGCAUAGGUAAGAGAGAAUCUGCACAAACAAAGAUUAGAGAUUCGGGGGAUUAAUGAAAAGAGAGUAGUACGAUAGAGAGAAAGUGGACAAAUCAGUAGGAAGUAGGAAUAGUAGCACACCUAGUCCUAAAAAAUAGGGACCGGCCUCACUGAGGCAUGGAGCUGCUCGUGGUAACAUAGCAGCGGAGUUACUUAGUUGAAUAACGUACGUGGGGAAAAAUAUUCCACGGCUAGCACAAAACCUGUGAAGUAUGAAGACAACACAAUUACAUCUACAUGAGGAGCAGGCUGCGAGGUUGGCGGUAUUUACCACGGUGACUUUCUAUAGGUCAGGCUUCUAAUAGUGGCCCACCGAAAAGUUAUAAGCUCUGUGCACAAAAAAAAAAAAACAGGGACAAGGAACCAUUUACGAAAUGCUGCAUGUAUUUCCUAUGUAACAAAGAAAUAAUAGGAAACUGGAGAUGUGUUUAUUGGACUAGCACAUAGUUCUAUAUGCUAGUCAGAAGUAAGUGAGGGCGUUCUACAUUGUUUGCUGUAUCACUGCACUAGGACAUCAAAACAAAUGACAAAGUUAAAGAUUAUGUUUCACUUUGUCAUUCAACUUGAUGACAACAACUUGUACAACUAAAAAAUAUCAGGUCGUUAACAGCAGAUGCUUUACUUAACUAUAGCUUGUUAAAAAUAAAGCUAAAAGUCUGCACAACCAUGCAUACUUUUGUAUGCUAAAAACCCUUAGAAGAAUAAUAUAGAAUAUUGAAUCCCUGAUUCUCAACUGAACAUUUACUAAAUGCAUUGUAAGAAUCUGGCAAGCCCUUGUAGUACUUCUCCGUAUGCCUACAUGCAAGUGUACAUAUGCAACGCGUUACAUCAGAUAUCAGCAAGUACUAACAUCUAAUCUAAGAUGUUUAACAUAUGGGGUGUUGUACCUAGGUGUAUCCAUCGAAUCUUUGUCCAUGCUAGUUGCACCUGCACACAUGAUUAAUAGUGAAUUUAAAUGCCUCACACACUGUCCACACACAAAAAAACUAGAAAUUUCAAAAUGUGAAUAGAACUAUGAAACUGAAACAAAAAUCAAAAUCAAACCCUUUCUAUGUCUCGCAUGUGGAUCAUAGGAAACAGAAUAGGUGUUCCAGGAAUUGAACUUCAUAGGAAACAAUUAAGUCUAGCAAGAAUUCAUUAUAUCAUUAUCAAACAGUUUCUAACAGUAUAAGAAAAAACCUUUUGGAAAUCCACAUGUCGUUCGGAUCCCGCUGGUUAGUAGGUUUGGCCCCCUUCUUUUGCCAGGCACUGCUUUAAAUGUUCACCAACAAUAUUAUACAUGUGGUGUCAUACGUUGUCCACACACAAAAUAACAGGAAAAGGCAAAAUCUAAAAUAUACAAGUUCAACCGAAGUUGCUGCUCAUCAAGGAAUAGCAAGAGAUUAUGCAAGUCAGGUACAGUACUGUUAUCAUGACAACUAGGAACUAAAGGUGCCACGCUGAAUUGGUAUCUUAGGGCCUGUUCGGCCGCUCUCCGCGGAGCGGAGCCGGCGGAGCGCCCUUUUAGCAGCUCUGCGUAUUAUACCUAGCAAGCCACUCCGCUCCGGCGCGGAGCCGCGGAGCGGAGGGAGUCCGAACGCGACCUUAAUUUAUGGGCGGAGGCAAGAUCUGAAACUGAACCAGAAUCUCAAGUUUCGGUUUGCCUUAUAAUGUAUUAUUGCUACACAGAUAAUUAUUAUUCUUGUACAUGAUCUCAACUUGUCACAGGACAUCAUUAGCAUUUUCAUAUAUUCUCUCGGAUCCCACUUUUCAAAGCCAGAACAACAUUCAAGAGUCUAAACUAUGGUGACAACCCAAGGUUCAGAGCAAUAAAUAUAUCAUUAAAAUCAGUCUAAAUGUGCCAUUUUCCACAAAGUAUCAUCAUAGUUAAGAUCUAUAGCUAAGUUCUAUGUUCCAAAUUUAAGCACUAUGCUAGUUACUUAUGAUGACAAUACACUAAGCAAAUUUCUUUUGAUAACGAAGGUCAACCAAAUUGACCACUAUGCAGAAGGUGUGCUCAUGCAUAACAACUACACUGUUUUCUUCUCAAAGCACAUAGUACGUGCAAAUUAGCUUUCAAAAUCCACACAUAACAUAAGCAGGAACAUGUGGAGGGGGGAAACAAUUCUUCCGAAGAGAAAUCGUUGUAUUGCUGUGAAAUAGCUAACACACGAGGUGGAUAAAGACCUUGCAUUAGAAGGACUAAAACCAACCCACUGUGCUAGUUGGAUCUGGAAGAGGCAUCUUGGAGCAUACCUUCUUGGCCGGCAGCACCUCCAGGAGAUGGUGAGCUUGGGCGCGAACGAAAAGGGAAGCUCCCGGCAGGGUUUGGA
rnacentral:lncRNA from 1 species